rnacentral:misc_RNA from 1 species
AUUAAUACUAAAAACAAUAUAAAAAUAUUAUCAAAAAAUUACAAAUAAAAAUAAAUUAAACAAAAAUUACCAUAACUAUAUUUUAACAAAAAUUACUAAAAAUUAAAUUACUAAUAAAAAUUAAAAUGGGAGAAUGAGUUAUGAAAAAAAAAGAUAAGAGGAAAAUGAAAUAAAAGAAAAUGAUAGAAAAUAAAAAAAAAGGAGAAAAAUGAGAGAAAAAAGAAAU